GGUCCGUUGGUCAAGCGGUUAAGACACCGCCCUUUCACGGCGGUAUCACGGGUUCGAUUCCCGUACGGAUCA
rnacentral:tRNA from 3 species